rnacentral:misc_RNA from 1 species
AAGUCGUAACAAGGUCUCCGUAGGUGAACCUGCGGAGGGAUCAUUAACACGUUUAACACGUUAUCAACCAAACGCGAACUCGGAGGCGAACUUGCAGUCGCAAGACUGUGAAAGUAGUUUCUAAAUCGACCUGAAAGAAAGUAAUCGUUUAAUUUCACUAGUGAUGGGCGAACUUGGAUUAAAUGAGGCGCAAGCUUUGUUUAGUCAAAUAGUAGCGGUGAAGUUGGACUUACAUAGCUCGACUAUGAAGGUUAUUUUCUCUCAGGUUAAACCAAUUUCUUUUCAUCACAGGAAAGCAACAAACCAAUUUCACCCCCUAUGCGAAUUGACUGAAUCACAUUGAACGGGAGAAAUCCUGUCUAAUGUCUAAACAAAACUAAAAGCACAACUCUUAGCAACGGAUAUCUAGGUUCUC